rnacentral:lncRNA from 1 species
AAGGUAUCAGUCCAUCGCUCAACUUUAACACUUGUAGUUCCAGUUUUAACAUAUGGAAGCACCCCUUGAUUCUCAGCUAAAAAUCUCGAACGAACGUGGAGAAGUAAUGAGAUCUCCAGAAAAGUGACGCUCCAGACCAUUUUGCUAUGUCCCUCUCUCUCACUUCUCGCUCUUAAUUUUGUACUGCAGUGCGUCUUAUGUCAAUUGUAUCUUCUAGUGAGUAUCCCUUAUACCAUCUCUUAAUUUAUCUUUAUCUAUAUUUGUCUUGAGGAAUCUUUGAGAAAAUUCUUGAAGGAAUACCAUUUCUAUUAAAGUUCUCUAGGUGUUUGACAAAAUUCUUGAAUGAACUACUAUAUUUGUUAAAUUUCUUAUGGGUUAUUAUUUUCUCAGUUGUGCGUUGAGGUUGUUUCAAUUAUUUUUUGUCAGUUUAUUUGGCGAUAAUUGGGAUUUGGGGCUUUGACAUAUUUCUCAUAGGCUGACGGCUUGUGCGUAUUUGAGACGAUUCUUUUGCUAUUUCCAUAUUUGAGAUGGAUUCUUUUGCUAUUUCCAUAAUGCAUAGACUGUUUUGGCAUAUAUUUGUAUUGCCUUCUUAAACUAUCAAUUUGGUGGUUAAAUAAAACCAGCUUUCCGAUUUAUUGACACUAAAAAAUAAACUCUUAUUAAACUAUCAAUUUGGUGGUUAAAUAAAACCAGCUUUCCGAUUUAUUGACACUAAAAAUGAACUUAAGAUGACCUUAGCGAUGCAGUGUGCUGGGAGUUGUCUACAGUACAAUCGAUAGGAUGUUAACCUAGAAUCGUGUUAAAAUAUUACAUUUCCUCUGCCCUUGGGAUAAUUAGAUUCAAAGAGCUAUUUAUAUGAACUCGCUAUUAGAAUGAAAUAAUUACUGAUCCAAUCAGUUUAUAAUUGAAAAGAUCAAGACGAGACAUUAGAUUUUGUUGGAAUCUAUUUACGUGAACUUGUCUUCUCACAUGGUCAACUUUAUCUUGCUUUAUCAAGAGACAAAAGUUCAUACUGUGUCAAAAUACUGAUUUGUCCACCUACAACAGUCGAUAAUGAUGAUCCUUCAACACAUAAUGUAGUGUAUGAUGAAGUUGUUCAAAAGGCCUUCUCGUCAGUGACCUAAUGAUGACUUUGGUUUUGUUAACAUCAUGGAACUUUUCUCUUGGAUUCUUUGGUGCUACUGAAAAUAAUAGAUUCAAUCAAAGAUACACUGCUUUACAGUUAAACAAAAAAUCAACAUUUUUUACUCCGCCUGUGUUGGAAUUAUACUACAACACAGCCGGUCCCAAGCCCGGACAAAUGAGGAGGUUUUUCCGAUUUAUUAGAAGUUAGACCCUUCAUUACUGUGUUUUCAUUAGCUGAUUCAAUUCUACUCUUUAUGAAUCUGCUCUUCUCUGCUAAACUAAAGCUCUUUCUUAUCAGCCAAUUCUUUCCAAUUUAGUAGUUGCACUAUUACUACAAAUUUCCAUGGUUAAUUACACGAUCUUCUAUUUUAAUGCUUUGCUGUUCCUUUUCCACUUAAUACAUAUUGAUUUGUAUUGAAGGUAUUCCAAGUUGGACAAUUUCAUAAUCUUCUUUAACCUCUUCAUCAUUUUCUUGCAACUAUUAUAAAUACGUACUAAUAAUUGACAUCAUAUAUGUUUGAUAGAAACUAAGUGAUUCAGUUUAUAACACAUUAGAUCUUUCGCUGUUGUUAUGACAUCAUAUAUAUUUGAUAGAAACUAAGUGAUCCAGUUUAUAAAAAAAUUAGAUCUUUCACUGUUGUUUUUGUUUGGUGACCCAAUUCUACCUUUCUAAAUUCAUUCUUCUCUUCUCUGUUAAAAUAUAACUCAUUUUGAUCGAUUACUCCUUCCAUAUUUGUAGUUAUACUUUUACCACAAAUUUCCACGCUACUUGUUUUAUUUUCUGUUGUGUCUUGCAGUAGUGAAUUUUCAAAAGUUGAAGCUAUUAAGGUAGAUAAGGAAUAUCGAUUUAGAUUAUUUGAAGAAUGAAAAGUUCAAGUUGAGCUUGUAGCUUGAGACAAGUUAAGGCUUCCAUAUGUUAUAUAAAAUGCUUAAAAAGUAUUCUACUAAUUUAACAUUCAGUUAUAUUUAAUAUAGUCUUAAAUGAGAAGGUGAUAGUAGUACUAAAUGUGAUUUUUUGUUGCAGCAGCACUUGUGUAACAUUCUUUCCUAUUUUUCCAGUUCCGCUACUUGCGUUAUUUUCAAAAUAUAGUGUACAACUGGUUAGUCAAUUUCUUCUUAGGCAUAAUGUUUAACUACACAUCAAAGUGAUACUCUACUAGAUCUUAAGACAUCUACAUUCAGUGUUCCAGGGAGCUACUUUAAGGAGUUUUAUGUUUUAGUUUCUGUUGAUCAUAUGUAAAAAUCUUAUGUACUUGGGCUAUGUGAAUCAGAUGGUUCAUUGACUGUCGAUUUCUAUUUUAUCUAUCCUAGCUUUUUUCAUAACUAAUAUAUAAAAUUUUUGAUGUUUCACCUAAAUGCAGCUGUUACAACUCUUACUAAUGAGGAUAUAACGAGGAAUAACGUAUGUGCCUUUGUCAACAAGGCAUAAUGGUGUCAUCAACUUUUACAAUUUUGGAGUUUCAAAUUUAUUAUUUCAUUCGGUAAGUCCAAUUCUAUUUGGAGAUUCAUUCUGUCAUCUAUUCUUUUGAUAAUCUCAUAAUAAAAAGACAUGUCAUAGUUACUUGGAAAAUUCUUUUGUGUUAUAUUUAUUUUGGUAAAUUCUUCUGUGGAGAAUCCUUAUUUAUGACAAAAAUGUACCAUUUUAAUGAAGCUCAAAUCUACAACAUUAAAGUACACAGUUUAGUUAAAGAAUAUGCAUUUGGUAUUCAUUCCUAUUAGUAUUUGUGGCCUUUUGUGUGUUUUCAUAAACGACUAAAGCUCACACCUACAGCAUUAAAGUACACUGUUUUAUUAAAAGAUAUGCAUUUGGUAUUCAUUCCUAUUAGUCUUUGUGGCCUUUUGUGUGUUUUCAUAUAUGACUUUAAAAUCACAUUACACAAGAAUGAUAAGUUUUUCCAACCUAUAUUUCUUUAGGUGUUCAUGAGAGCUCCACAAUUUGUGCCUUCAUUUUAUUUAUCUUUAGAAAUAGAGCAAAGAAGGUAUGGAAGCAUAAUUGUUUUCAUUCUAUAGUUGGGAGAAUAUAAAUUACUUGAUUAAUCCUUGUUUUCUUAAUAUCCGGUAAUAACUGUAGGGUUCACUUACGCGCAGUAGACAGUUGGACUGCUUAAUGUCAGUGACGCCCUUGAAGAUCCACAAACCAUUCUGAAAUUAUAGUUUAGUCCUAUUCACUUGCAGAUAUCUGUAUCUACCUUUUCCACUUUUGCCUGAUGGCAUUAUAAGAAAAUUAUAUGUGACCAACUUCACUUGAUAUGCUAUUUAUAUUCCUUGGUAUAAAUUGUGUUUAUGUAAGAUGAUAUUUUUACUUUUGAGAAGAGAUAGAAAAUCAGUACUUGGAUAAUUCAUAUAAU